rnacentral:rRNA from 1 species
AGCAGCCGCGGUAAUUCCAGCUCCAAUAGCGUAUAUUAAAGUUGUUGCAGUUAAAAAGCUCGUAGUUGAAUUUCGGGAUUGACGUGAUGGUCAUGCCUUAAGGGGUAUGAACUGUUACAGUUGAUUUCUCACCUUCUGGAGAAACUUGAUGUCCUUUAUUUGGGUGUCUUGCGGAUCCAGGACCUUUACCUUGAAAAAAUUAGAGUGUUUAAAGCAGGCAUUUUUGCUCGAAUACAUUAGCAUGGAAUAAUAGAAUAGGACGGCAUGGUUCUAUUUUGUUGGUUUCUAGGAUCACCGUAAUGAUUAAUAGGGAUAGUUGGGGGCAUUAGUAUUCAAUUGUCAGAGGUGAAAUUCUUGGAUUUAUUGAAGACUAACUACUGCGAAAGCAUUUGCCAAGGAUGUUUUCAUUAAUCAAGAACGAAAGUUAGGGGAUCGAAGACGAUCAGAUACCGUCGUAGUCUUAACCAUAAACUAUGCCGACUAGGAAUCAGACGAUGUUAAUUUUUUAAU